CAGGCGGUUUGUUAAGUCAGAUGUGAAAUCCCCGGGCUCAACNUUGGGAACUGCAUUUGAAACUGGCAAGCUAGAGUCUCGUAGAGGGGGGUAGAAUUCCAGGUGUAGCGGUGAAAUGCGUAGAGAUCUGGAGGAAUACCGGUGGCGAAGGCGGCCCCCUGGACGAAGACUGACGCUCAGGUGCGAAAGCGUGGGGAGCAAACAGGAUUAGAUACCCUGGUAGUCCACGCUGUAAACGAUGUCGAUUUGGAGGUUGUGCCCUUGAGGCGUGGCUUCCGGAGCUAACGCGUUAAAUCGACCGCCUGGGGAGUACGGCCGCAAGGUUAAAACUCA
rnacentral:rRNA from 1 species